GGGGGAUUAGCUCAGUUGGGAGAGCGCAGCGUUCGCAAUGCUGAGGCCGAGGGUUCGACCCCCUUAUCCUCCACCA
rnacentral:tRNA from 2 species